ACUCCUGCGGGAGGCAGCAGUGGGGAAUAUUGCACAAUGGGCGCAAGCCUGAUGCAGCCAUGCCGCGUGUAUGAAGAAGGCCUUCGGGUUGUAAAGUACUUUCAGCGGGGAGGAAGGCGAUAAGGUUAAUAACCUUGUUGAUUGACGUUACCCGCAGAAGAAGCACCGGCUAACUCCGUGCCAGCAGCCGCGGUAAUACGGAGGGUGCAAGCGUUAAUCGGAAUUACUGGGCGUAAAGCGCACGCAGGCGGUCUGUCAAGUCGGAUGUGAAAUCCCCGGGCUCAACCUGGGAACUGCAUUCGAAACUGGCAGGCUAGAGUCUUGUAGAGGGGGGUAGAAUUCCAGGUGUAGCGGUGAAAUGCGUAGAGAUCUGGAGGAAUACCGGUGGCGAAGGCGGCCCCCUGGACAAAGACUGACGCUCAGGUGCGAAAGCGUGGGGAGCAAACAGGAUUAGAUACCCGUGUAGUCCCAUGA
rnacentral:rRNA from 1 species